rnacentral:lncRNA from 1 species
CCCCAGUCCUUUUUAUUUAUUUCUUAAAAAUUUAAGACAGGGUAUAGGCAAAUUGCUGAGGCUGGCCUUGAACUCACCUUUCUCUGCCUCCCCAGUCACUGGGAUUACUGGCCUCUGCCACAGCCCUGGGAAAUAAUGAUGAAUUAUUAACGGCAAUAGAGUGUGUAUGAAUGGUUUUAAGCAAGAGCGCAAUCAGAAGCCAGUUUAAAUGCAUUAGAAUUCAGACUCCAGGAGGAACAGAAAUAAAGGUCUUCUUUCGAAGAUUCCAUUUCCCUUGUAAAUCCCAAAGGAUCAAUCCUGUCUGGGGAGGCUGUCUCCUACACACAAGAUGUGGCUCUCUUUUAACCUUGUUACCCUCAUGUGACUGAGUUCCUCCUGGCAGCCUCUCCUUCCCACAUCCAGCUUCAAGUGGGACACAACAUUUCUCUGAGGUUUCUAAAAAUAAUCCUUGCAUCAGUUCUAGCUAUGGAGUACUAUGCAGCUGUCAAAAGAAUAAGGACAAUCUCUGCACUGGAGAUGAUUGUCAGGAAGUUUUUUUGUUUUGUUUUAUUUGCAUUUGUGGGAAUUAAACUCGGGGCAUCCCAAAUGUGAGUCAAGUGCUCUCCUGAGACCAACCUACUUCCUAGCCCCCCGCCUUUUAAAUAUUUUUUAGUUGUCACUGGACCUUUAUUUAAUUAAUUAAUUUAUAUGCAGUGCUGAGAAUCGAACCCAGUGCCUCACACAUGCUAAGUGAGUUCUCUAUCACUGAGUCACAACCCCAGUCCCCC